AGAGAGAGAGAGAGAGAGAGCUGGAAACGGGCUGAGUAGAGAGAAAAAAAACGAAAAGAAUAUGAAGAAAGCGAAAGAAAAGGAAAAAAGGGGGGAAGAGGGCUUGGUCUUCAAUUUCCUCUCAAUUUUUCAGGGUAGUGAUGUGGGAGCCUGGAAAUUCUCUUCAACUCAACCAAAUAUUUAUUCAUAGAUCCGUGAGUGAAAAAAUUUAUAUAUUUUCAAAGGAAGCAGUCGAGUUUGGGGAGCUUUGAAGAGCCUGUUGAUUUAGGAAUCAUCGCCACAUGACCAUUUUAGAUUAUUUAUGUUCAUUGAGCUAAGUGUGUGUGUAUAUAUAUAUAUAUAUAUAUAUAUAUUUGGGCCCAUUGCAUUAUUAGUUUCAUAAACAUUUGAUUUGGCGCAUAUUUUGUAGUAAGUCAUAGUCAGCCUUGAUGGUGGAUCUGACAUCCAGUCAGCAUUCACCAUCGGUGCACGUCAUAGCUCGGGUCCACAAGGUGAUUAGGGAUGGGUCGUGUCAAAAUGGCUUAGACCAAUGAACUCGAAUGGAAUUCUCUCUUUAACAAACUAUGAAUUUUAUACAAAGAAAACCAUUUUUGAUGAA